UGCUGCUAAUGCUGUUUGGUAGUUUAGCAGGUUGCUGUGUCCUCCUUAGGUAUGACUUCUAUUGCUUCUCGCAUGCUGUCCUACACUCCAUUACACUCCAUUGUAUGCCAUUUACUGUGAAGGUGUUGUUUCUAUAAAGUAUUUCUGAACUGUAAGAUAUUGUGAAAAUGUGUCCUGGUGUGAAAUGUAGCAGUCUUCCUGAAUUAAGACACUGCUAAAUUUUAAACUACGAAAUAGAUGUGUUUGUACUAUGCAAGUAAGGCUUCAUAAUAAAAUCAGAAUUGCUUUUUUCCUUGAGGGAAAUUCAAGUGAACACUUCCUUACAAUCCAGUUUAAAAGUACAAACAAAUAUUUUAAAUGGGUAUUUGGUCUUGUAUUGUAUAUUGUUUAAAAUUGACUUCAAAUAUAAAUCUUGCACCUCACCUUCUACAGUAAAGGGAGAUUCUUUGGACAUCAAUUCAUUUACUUGGCUGGGCUAAGGGCCAGAAAUUACAAGCUUGCCAAUGAAUAAAGAAAACUGUAUCACACUGUUAAAUAUCUUGUCAACAUGCAACUAUCUUCUAAAGCUAGAUUGAAAAUAUCACUCAACAUAAAUUCUGUUAAAGAAGGUCAUAUUUUCUGAGGGUCAAAAAUACAUGUUUAGCCAAUGGAAUUAAGCACAAGUAUGAAACCUCAGAGUUGGUAAUGGCAGAAAGACAGACUGCGGCAGUAGUUUGAGUUCAUCAUAUUGAAAUUCAUAAAUGUUGGAGACUGAGGUGCUGUAUAACUAGCCAUUUCAGUGCCGUAAAACUUGGUUAAAUUGAAGUCAAUUACCUGAACUGAUAAAUGGUAAAUCAGCCAUUUAUUUUAGAACAUUUGACUUUUAAUACUGUUCAUCAGAAUGAAUUAGAAUCCAAUCCUUCUGCCUCUAAAGCUGCAGCGCAUUUGUUACUCAGUUUAAUUUUAUAGACAUUUCUCUGACAACUGACAUUUUCUUUGUGGGGACCUAUAUGGUUUUAAACACCAAAAAGACUUGCUUAACUCGACAAAAACUCAGAUAAUGUUUGAUCAGUGUAACAUUUGCUCUUUUGAAUGUGUUAUUUAUUUGUUUUUAUAUGUCCAAGGUGAGAUGAAUUUUGCUGACUUUGCUUCUCUUUUCAGAUCUUUAGUGCAGUUUAAAAGCCCAGUCCGUAGAUCUUGUCAUGGAUAUGGAGUCAUACAGCAUGGAAACACCCUUUGGUCCAAUCAGUCCACGCUGACCCUGUUCCCAAACUGAACUAGUUCCAUCUGCCUGCGUUUGACACAUCAUUCUAAAACCUUUCCUAUUCAUGAAAUUAUCCAAAUGUGAUUUAAACAUUAAACGUUCUGCAUCCAUCCCUUUCUCUGGCAGUUCAUUCCACAUGUUAAUCACUCUACAUGAAAAAGUUGCUCUUAAGGCCCCUUUUUAAAUCUUUUCUGUCUCACCUUAAAUAUGCCCCCUAGUCUUGAACUCCCCCACCCUAGGGAAAAGCUGCUUGUAAUUCACCUUGUUAUUCACCUUGUUUAUGCACCUCAGAUUUUAUAAACCUCAUUAAGGCUAUCCCUCAGCCUCCUACACUCCAGUGAAAAAAGUCCCAGUCCAAUCUAUUUUUAUAUCUCAAACCCUUGAUUCCCAGCAACAUCAUGAUAAAUAUUUUCCAAAUGCUUUCCGGUUUAAUAAUGUGUGAAUGUUUACUUGUGUGUUUUUUAAACUUAGUGAUUUCUCAGAUCACAAUUCCAAUAAGUGUGCAAUUUUAACCUCUACUUGAUUAGAAUUAGAUUCUAGCAUUUGAGCCUGUAAUUCAGGGAAGUGCUUUCAGAACAUUUUUUUCAACCAGGCCACACAUCCUUUUUACGAUUUUCAUUUAAUUUUAGGAUGUCUUCUAACAAUUGCAAAAUUCAGUCUAUUCCAUUAACCCAGAGAUCUCUAAUCAUGGGCUUUUUGUUACGGAUGCAAAAUUCUUCAGAUGCUGUAAUCUGAAAUAAAAAACAGAAAAUACAAUAAACAAGUCAUGUAGCAUUUGUGGUGCGAAACAGUUAAAAUUUCAGGUUGAUGAUGGCCCUUCAUUUGAACAUGUGGUUUUCUUUGUAAGGUACUCCACAGGAACAGAGUAGGCAAAGAAGAGAGUAAGCUUUCAACAGGUUCUUGCGAUGGCAUGAUUUGUGUCCAAGAAAUCUUCCACUUUUUUCAUGUUACAAUGAUUUCCCCAAAACCCAUUCUUUACCUUCAAAGUGAGGAGUAUGAUGCAAGACUCUUCAUUUGCCUGAGUGAGUGCACCUUCAACAGUUAAGAUCAAUCCCAACCAAGGCAACGCAGCCUGCUUGAUUGGCACCCCAUCCAGUAUCUUCAACAUUCACUUUCUCCUGCAUUCACCGGCAGCAGUGUGUACCAUCACCAAGAUCCACUGCAGCAACACAACCAGUGCUUCUCUGAUACCACCUUCCAAACCUAUGACCUCUGUGUACGAGAAGUAUAAGGUCUUCAGAUGCGCCAUGUGCAAGUUGCCUUCAACCCACAAACCAUCUUUACUUGAACUGUUAUUUCUUCAUUGUCAGCAAGAAACCUCUGAUUUUAAUCAAUAACAGCACAGUGAUGUCUAUAUCCCUGAUCUGCAAUAUUUGAGAAUGAAGUUAGUCACUAACUAAUUGAGGGCACUUGGAGAUUGGAUCAUCUCUGGUCUAGUUUGUCACAACCACAUCCUUUGAACAAAUAUUUUUAAAAAAGAUGUGAAUGUAACUAACAAGGCCAGCAAUUAUUGCCCUUGAGAGUCUAUUUGCUUGAAGCAAAUUUGACAAACCUGUCUGACAAACCAGUUAAUCUGCUUUGUUUCAAGAACAAGUAUUGAAGAGAACGUUUGCCUCUUCAGAAAAAGAUAUUUUCCGCCUAACAUUUCUAUUGCCAUAUCACUUUUGAAAUUGCUGGGUGGAGUUGAAUCUACAAGUUUCUCAAUCACUUGAGCAUAUUAUUGUUGAGCCAGAUUUAAUUGAUGUAUUCUCCUAAACCUAGAUUAGAAGUGAUGGGGUGCUAGUUUUGUUGCCAUUUAUAAAGAAACUGGUUGAAUAAAGCAUUGUAAGUGGAGACAUAUAUAUAUUAAAGAUAGCUAAUGUUUGACAUAGUGAAGCUGUUUGAUCCACAGUACAGAUUGUCCACUUGAACAGAGCUUCUGGAGAAACUGGAACUUUUAAUAUAAAAAUUCAGCAGUAGGGCAAUGUAUUCAAUUUACUUAUCUAUGCUAAUUUGUUUCAAGCAACUUGCAUGUCUAGACAGUUUUUUGAAUAAGUAAACAUUUGACACAUUGAACUAUUCACAAUUUUUGAGAAGAUUUGUAGCUCAAGUUGAUAAGUAGGUAAGUUAGCUUGCUGAGCUUGAAGGUUUGUUUUCAGACAUUUCAUCAGCAUAAUAGGUAACAUCAGUGAGAGUCUCCAGUGAAGCGCUGGUGGUAUCUCUCACCUCUCUCUUUAAACGUCUUGGUUUCUUAAGGUGGGUGAUGUCAUUUCUGUUUUUUUUUUCCAAGGGAAGGUAAAUAGGAUCUAAAUCGAUGUAUUUAUUGAUGAGUACUGGUUAGAAUGCCAUGCCUCUAAGAAUUUUGUUACCUAAUAUGGUGACGAAACAUUUGAAACCAAACCUUCAAGCUCAGCAAGCUAGCUUACAUAUACUGAACUAUUUUGUACAAUGUGCUUACAUGAAUUUUUUAGUCAUAGAGAAGUACAGCAUGCAAAUAGACCCUUCGGUCCAACUUGUCCAUGCCAACCAGAUAUCCUAAUCUAAUCUAGUCCCAUUUGCUGGCACUUGGCCUAUAUCCCUCUAAACCCUUCCUAUUCAUAAACCUAUCCAAAUGUCUUUUAAAUGUGCAUGUACCAGUCUACCAGUUCUUAUGGCAGCUCAUUCCAUACACACCACCAUCUGCAUGAAAAUGUUGCCCCUCAGGUCCCUUUUAAAUUUUUCUCCUCUCACCUUAUACCUAUGCCCUCUAGUUCCGGACUCCCCCUAACCUCUAUCUAUCUUCAGUCCAGAAUGGAUUUUUCAGAAGGUUUUUUUCCCCUAAUGAAAGUAAACAUUUGACCAUAAACUUCCAAGUUCCCUCUAGUCCUUGACUGUCUUGAAGAACUAAUUUUGAGUUGUCAAAACAUAUGUGACAUCCAUUUUUAGGGCUUAACCUAAUUUUCUGAGAUUAGGUGAGGUGGGAUGAGUGGUGGGUGUUAGCUAAAGUUCAGCACAUGAGUAGAAUUCUUUGCGUUUUACUUCGAGAUGAUAAAUCUUCAAACACCAAGGAAAUAAUUUAACUUUGCUAAUUUGCAUGGUAUAACAGUUAUGUGUGGAAAUGUCAAAUGAAUGGUUUUUUAGUUCACUUCCUAAACAAAUCAUUCACAUUGAUUCCGUGUGAAAUGAGAAACGUCAUGAAGUCAUGAGAAAGUAUGCGUUAAUGUUGUGCUGUACAUGUUUUAUUUCAUACUAUUGAGGGAUCACCUUAAAUUGUUAAGCCAUUGCCACGGCCAGGCACACACCACCAGCAUUUUACUUUUACUGUUCAAUUCAAUAAAAUAUUCUCCAGUGAUAACUUCAGUUUGACAGGUUGAAUCUAAAAAUGAGCUAUAUUGCUGAUGGUUGUUCCUAUUCAGGUGGAUAUUUAGUCUGAAUUUCACAAGCUUCUUUUAGUUUAAAGAAAUCAAAGUGACUAUCUCUUUAUAUGGUUUGUUUUGAUGGAACUGUAACUGUAAAUUAUCUUUCAAUAUGAAUAAAGUUCAUAAGACUUCAGUGUUAAUUUAAA